UACGAAGGGGGCUAGCGUUGCUCGGAAUCACUGGGCGUAAAGGGCGCGUAGGCGGCCAUUCAAGUCAGAGGUGAAAGCCCAAGGCUCAACCUUGGAAUUGCCUUUGAUACUGUUUGGCUUGAGACCGGAAGAGGUUAGUGGAACUGCGAGUGUAGAGGUGAAAUUCGUAGAUAUUCGCAAGAACACCAGUGGCGAAGGCGGCUAACUGGUCCGGUUCUGACACUGAGGCGCGAAAGCGUGGGGAGCAAACAGG
rnacentral:rRNA from 1 species